rnacentral:ncRNA from 1 species
AGGUUAUUGAUAAAGUGCCCGCAGCGGUGAAAACAGGUAGAUCAUAAAGACACCGUAAAAUCGUCCCUGAUGGCUUGAGCCGCGCCAUCCGUGGCGCGGACGCUUU